UGAUUCUGAGGUAAAUCUUGCACGAAAGACCUUUCUCUCAGGUCACCUUGGACUUUUUUCUUAUUCAUUCACAGGAUGUGGACAUCACUGGCUAGGCCAGCAUUUAUUUCCCAUUCCUAACUGUACUGGAAAUGAUGGUGAUGAGCUACCUUCUUGAAUCGCUGCAGGCCUAAAAGUCCAACUACUCUUGCCCUUAGGAAAGGGGUCACUGGGAGAGCAACAGUGAAGCAACAGCAAUAUAUUUCCAAGUCAGGAUGGUAUGAUGAUUGUUGUAUAUAUUGGGAGCUGAAGGGCUCACCUGCUAAUUAGCCAUCUUGGAAAGGCAAUGGAGCUAGACCCUUGAAUACACACUAAUUUUCAGCAGCUGCUUUUGCACAGCAGAGAGAAGGAAAAUUAAUUUGUGACAAGGACUGGAACUCUCUCUCCUCUACCUGCGCCUUUGAAAAACAGCACCCAGUGAAUACAGCAACCUUGGUAAUUCUCAAAUAAGAAGAAAAAUGCUCAAGAAUCUCAACAGAGAGAGAGAGAGAGAGAGAGAGAAAACAGAGUCAAGACUUUGAGUGGAAUAAUGACUUCUUCAGAAUUAAAAGGUGGUGGAAAACUGUGUAUUUUGUACUGAUGCCAGAGAGGGAGGAGGAGCAAGUGGAUCAGAUUGGCAGAAUGAUUGGGUGCUUCAUUUUCUCAUGAGCAACGUUUUAACUGAAGUGUGACAGCUGCACGAUCAAAAUAAAUUGAAAGACAAUUGUUGCAACCGACUGAGAUGAGGUUAAAAACGAAGGAGCGAAUUCCUCCUCAGUGUCAGCUCCAGUUUUGUCUACUUCAGUAUUCUUGUCAGCUUCCAUUUUUCUGCUUUCCAUGUACUUUUUUCAAAAAUACAGCUGACCAUUUUCUGUCUAACCCCUCUUUGUUGAGCUUCGCUGGCCCUCUUCCCUAUGGUCGGUGGGUAACACACUUAACUCUAUCACGAGGCCAGGGCUUCUAAGGGCCAGUCCAGAAACCUAAGCAAAUUUAAGUUGGCAAAUUAGUGCACAACUGAGAAGGUGCUGCACUGUUGGCCACAGCAUCCUUUCUUAGGAUGAGAUGCGAUUGAGAUGUCACUUUUUUCCUCAUAGAUUUGGAAAGAAGAGGUUACAUAAUUGUUUCGUAUUGAUCUUUGGCUGGACUGCACUAGAGAACUCAUUCUACUGACUAUGUUAUUGAAAGGAUACAGAGUACAAUGGUGUCGAAAAUAUGUGGGGCUACAGGUCGGGAGCUGAAGUCAAAAAAAGAUGUAAGAACUAGGAGCAGGAGUAGGCCAUUCAGCCCCUUAGAAAGCUAUUGUACUGAGGCUGGAUCUUCACAAGAGGGUUCAAAAAAACUGAGACUGACAGACUUUAGCUUAGCAAGGCUUUUAAUGGGGAAUGGAAUCAAGGUGGGUAAAUGGAAUAUAAGAUACAUACAGGUCGACCCCAAGAAAAUAGAAAAAAAAUGGGACAGAUCCUCUUUCUGCUGGAAGCAGGGUCCGUGAAUAUAUUUAAGGCAGAGAUAGAUAGAUUCUUAUUAAUUAAGGAGGUGAAAGGUUAUUAGGAGUGGGCAGGAAUGCAGAUUUAAGGGUACAAAUUAAGCCAGCUGUGACACUAUUGAAAGCUGCAUUUGCUAACAACAAGAGGCAUGUGCAUUUGCAGCAAUAUCUGUCAUAAAUAUAGUAAGAAAUGUUUACAAAUUAAUGGUACAAUUUUAACGAAACUGUAUAUCUGGUCAGAUAAAUGAAAUAUUAAACAAAGUAGAACUAUUUUUAUUCCAAAACAAUAUCAGCUUCAUAUUGUGUGCAGCCAGCAAUAAUCAUAGGAUCCCUACAGUGUGGAAGCAGGCCAUUCAGCCCAUUGAGUCUACACUGACCCUCUGAAGAGCAUCCCACACAAACCCACCUGCCCCACCCUACACCCGUAACCCUACAUUUCCCAUUGGUGUGAGCAAGCAGAUCCAUUACGGAAUGGCAGGACAAGCUCGAGGGCUGAAUGGCCUACUCCUGCUUCUAUGUUCGAAGACUGAAUUUGUUCCCCCACUUGUUCAAACUGAGCAACGUGUUUCAAAACAUAAAUACAUCAUUUGAACAUUUAAGUGUUGUUCUAAUGAAGGAAAUAGGAAGAGGAUUCCAAUAAUAUUGUGCAAAGUGGAUUCCAGGUGAGCGUUCCUACGAAUCAAACUUUAAUGUUAGUUUUUUUUAAAAUGAAUUGGGAAAUGCCUUAGUACCUCUGCGGCCUUUCUUGCAAGUUCGCGUUGUAACUUCCUCUUCUCCAGGAUGUCCUGAUGAAUCCUUCUCUGCCGCUCCUCCUCCAUUCUUUUCUUCUCCUCCUCUUGCCUUACCUUUUCCAUUUCCUCAAACUUGCCCUUGACUGUCCCUGUGGAUACAGGAAGGCAUACGCUCAUUUCUUUUUGUCCCCAAGUUCUGACGCCUGACGGGAACACUGAAAGUUUGGGCGAAUUCGAUUUCAGUUGCUGCUACCUGUCAUUUUAGGGACGUACGCCUUCUUCAGUUCGUUUGAUUUGUUCUCAUCUUCAUCAUCUGAAGCAAGUAGUUCCCUUAGCUGAAAUAAAUCAAGGGGAAAAAGAGGUUCAGCAUCUUUUUUUUUUGCAACAUUAAAUCCACUUACAUCCAGCAGCAGCACCAAGGACCUAUCAACUCUAUUACAAAACAAUAACCCAAUGUAAGGGGUCAGGUGAUUUUGAGGACCGAAGCUGAUGUUGGACCGAAGAGAGAAUUGGGGAAGAAUUGGGUAGAACAAACCUGAGGGUGAACACAUUUGAAUGUUUCCUUUGUGACUUUUACCUCAUGGUUAAUGUUAACGGUAACACGAUUUUAGUAAAGGUCAGAAAUGGGAGCUGGAUUGGGCCUCUGGCCUUCCAGGUCCACUCUAUCAUUCAAUAAAGUCACGGCUGAUCUUCUAUCUCACUCCAUCUUCCUACACAGUCCCUGAUUUCCUUAAUUCCCCAAGAACAUAAAAAUAUGUCGAAUUCUGUCUAAAAUAUAUUUUAAACCGAGCGCCCUUGGAUAGACAAUUCCAAAGCUUCACCAUCCUCUGACGCUAAAUUGUGAAUCAAUUAAACAAUUUCCACAGAUCUGUUGUCAGCCUCGUCAGUAUAAAUGAGCAACAAGGUACAGUCAUUCUGAGGGGUAAAACAGAUGUGACUUAUAAACUAAGCAACCUCCUGUUUUAUCUUUGUCCAUUCUUUCUCCUUCUUAUACUGUUCAUUUCUCCUUCUCCUUUCUUCUCCAGAUCUCCUCUUGCUCCUUUCCUCCCGCGCUUUUUGCAUGGCUUCGAACUUAGUCUUAACAUCUCCCUUGGCCAGCUUUGGCACGUAUGAUUUAUGAACAGGUUUAGAUGUAGAUAGAAGCAUCUAUGUGGGUUAGAAAGAAAAAAACAGAGAAAGAAAGGAGGGGGGGAGAAAGAGAUAAAUGAAAGAACUUAACAAAAAGGUGUAAGCUGACGAAAUUUAUUAAACAAAUGAUAGAGAAUUAAAGGAAUGAAGAAGUAUCUUUCACAUUUUCAAUAAUUAACAACUAAUCCAUUGAGAUCCCCUGAAUAUUUCAGCCAAGGUUUGUGUAUCCAGCAUAGCAACAGUUUGUUAAUUUGUGGGUUAAGUUCUUUUUUAAAAAUUAAUGUCUUGAUGGAAAUAAGACAGAAGAGGAAUGUUCUGAUAUCUUUGGUGCUAAUAUUGGAGGUGAUGGCCUAGUAGUAUUAUCUCUGGAUUAAUUAAUCUGGACCAUUAAUCCAGAAACCAAGGUAAUGUUCUGGAU